rnacentral:rRNA from 1 species
UGGGGAAUUUUGGACAAUGGGGGAAACCCUGAUCCAGCCAUCCCGCGUGUGCGAUGAAGGCCUUCGGGUUGUAAAGCACUUUUGGCAGGAAAGAAACGUCAUGGGUUAAUACCCCGUGAAACUGACGGUACCUGCAGAAUAAGCACCGGCUAACUACGUGCCAGCAGCCGCGGUAAUACGUAGGGUGCAAGCGUUAAUCGGAAUUACUGGGCGUAAAGCGUGCGCAGGCGGUUCGGAAAGAAAGAUGUGAAAUCCCAGAGCUCAACUUUGGAACUUCAUUUUUAACUACCGGGCUAGAGUGUGUCAGAGGGAGGUGGAAUUCCGCGUGUAGCAGUGAAAUGCGUAGAUAUGCGGAGGAACAGCGAUGGCGAAGGCAGCCUCCUGGGAUAACACUGACGCUCAUGCACGAAAGCGUGGGGAGCAAACAGG